GACGAACGCUGGCGGCGUGCCUAAUACAUGCAAGUGGAACGCUGAAGGAGGAGCUUUCUCUUCUGGAUGAGUUGCGAACGGGUAAGUAACGCGUAUGUAACCUGCCUCUUAGCGGGUGAGAACUAUUGGAAACGAUAGCUAAUACCGCAUAACAGUUGAUGUUGCAUGACAUUUACUUAAAAGAUGCAAUUUCACCACUACCAGAUGGACCUGCGUUGUAUUAGGUAGUUGUUGGGGUAACGGCCCACCAAGGCGACGAUACAGAGGCGGCCUGAGAGGGGGAACGGGCACCAUGGGACCGGGACACGGCCCCGAACUCUACGGGAGGGAGCAGGAGGGAAUCUUCGGGAAUGGACGGAAGUCUGACCGAGGAACGCCGCGGGAGUGGAGAAGGGUGUCGGAUCGUUAAGCUUCGUUGUAAGAGAAGAACGAGUGUGAGAGUGGAAAGUUCACACUGUGACGGUAUCUGACCAGAAAGGGACGGCUAACUACGUG
rnacentral:rRNA from 1 species